AUGCCUUGUGAUAAAGUUAUGUUAAUUGCAUCAUAGUUACCUCAAAAAACAAUCAAAAAGAAACUAUGAUAUAAU
rnacentral:sRNA from 1 species